rnacentral:miRNA from 1 species
CGUCAUCGUCGUCAUCGUCAAU